AUGUGUUUGUAUUAUUUUAGAAUUUACUGUUUUAGACACGUGGCAUGUGGUAUCCCACUACACUUGGUAUAAGCUGUCAUACUACAUGUGGCUUGUGAUAUCCCACUAAUUAGCUAUUUUAAACAUGUGACAAGUGGUAUGACACUGUAUUAAUGUAUGUGAAAUGUAUAGAGUCUUUCAGUUAUCAGAUUAU
rnacentral:lncRNA from 1 species